rnacentral:lncRNA from 1 species
GAUAGAAGAGGUGCUAACAAUGAGACUACUGAAGUUGUGGGCCUUGAUUAUGGGCUAAAUCAUAAGACUUGGAAAGUAUACACAAGGAAAAGAAAGAAGCAUGACGUGGCUACAAGAGGUGCAUGAGAAUGUGCCUACUUAAGUGGAAGGUGUCAGAGAGAAUAAUUAUCCUAUCAUUUUCUGUUAUUUGUGUGGGGUCACUUCUUAGUGAUUUCUUGGGGAGCACUGCGUGCUUGGGACUGAUAGCUAACACUAUCAGUUUGUUAUUUUGUCUUAUCCAUAUUACAGCAAUUGUAAUUGUUCUUCCAGUAAUACAAUUACAGUUUAUUUCUCAUAUCAAUUGUCACUGUGUUAUUCAUCAAUUCACACACACACCUAUCA